rnacentral:tRNA from 1 species
GAAUAAGAAACAAAAUUUUGUAUUUAGUUUCGACCUAAAAUUAUGGUAUUCAUUUACCCUUAUUUU